GUUGGACGCUAAUCGGUUCCGCAGAACCAAUUACAUUAAACCGAAGAAAACCACAUCUGAAAUAACUAGAAUGUGCCGUAAUGGUUGUUAAAGGCAGAUUUUCUACCUGCUAACUCCGGGCCCGAUAAUGGGCGAUGGUGAGAGCGAUCAUUUGGCUUAAACACGUGCUCUUAAUGCAGUGUGACGGUCUCUCUAACAUACACAUUUUGUUAACGAGCCCACCAGGACCGCACAGAGGUGAACUUCACGGAAACCGGGGCAGGCCUCUUCCUCUUAAUGAGCGCCGUGGCAGCGAUUAUCUCCCACAGUUCUGCAGCUCGUCUAUCUGCUAGAUGCAUCGCUUGAUACUGAGAAAAGGCUGCCUUGUCUGCUUGCUGCCACAUUUCAAAAAGCUGCCAAAUGUCUGCAUCAGUGAGGGUGUUGACAGCAGGUGCUGAGACGCAUUUUUUAAGGCUUCCUAUCCAAAGUGCGCACGAAGAGAGUGCUGUCCUUGCAAAUGAAGCUCAGCAGCAAGCUAGCGUGGAGAAAGGAUUGCGAGAAUAACCUGCUUCACAAGAGAUGGAUACAACUAUCAUGCAGGGUCCCCAGGAGGAAGAUUUUUCAGCAUGGACACACAGCGCGGGAUCUUGUUGUUGAAUGGAGAGCAGGACUGGCCAGGCAGAUAAGCAGCCUGUAAGGGGACUUGAGGCGUAUGAACCAACAUGGUGGCGUAACUCUGGCCUAUUGGUCUCGGCCUAAUCCGCGCUCACUGUUCCACCUGCGCCUCUGCAACCCGGCAGAGCAUGUGACCUCGGUGACCCGCGCUUUGACCUCUGACCCUGGAGUGCCACAGACUUUCUGGGCCAAAGUGAGCACAGAACAUGGAAAGUUCUUGGGCCGCACCAGGGCUGAGACGUUCUAAUGUUAUGCAGCUUGUAUUCAUGAAGGAGCGUGGCCACUGACAGUAAAGUUGGCGAUGGAUGUACUUUUUUUGGCAGUGCCUUUGUAUCAAUAUUCAUGUUGUGACUAGAAACUUAUUCUAUCAUCUUCUAACCACCUUGGCCAUGUCCAAAAAUUGCAUACUAUGCAUGGUAAAUAAAGCCAAGUUAGGUUUUGUAGUAUGCAGAAUGUAGUUUGCUUAAUGUAUGUAGCCGAAUGGCAUAUUAACA